rnacentral:rRNA from 1 species
UAAGUGAUAUUUGCUUGGCAUUAGUUAAUUGGAAAUUGUUAUAUUCAUUGUUUGGUAGUGGGGAUAGGUAGAUAAAGAAUUAAUUUAUUUUAUUUUAAAAGUAAGUUGUAUAUAAAUUUUAAUUUUUAACUAAAGUGUACGAGUACUGUAAAGGAAUUUGUAGUGGAUUAAUAAAAAGAAGACUUAAACUUUUGUACCUUUGGUAUCAGGGGCUUUCUAUUUGUUGCGAGGAGGUUUGUUGUUCCCGAAACAGAAUGAGCUAGUUUGGCGAAAGUGUUUGUGUUGAAAAAUGAAACUGAAUGCUGUGCUAGUAGUGAUAUGUUAGUCGUAUUUUGUAUAUCUGGUUGCUUCUGAAUUAAUUUUAAUUUAACUUUUGCGAAGAUCUAUCGCAAAAUUAAAUGCCUAGGGGGAAGAGCUCAUAGGUUGUUAGUUUGAGUAAAGGUUGUGUUAUUUAUUUUAUAUAAAUUUAGGCUUAGAAUCAGCUGUAUUACCCGGCCGUUAUAGGAGAUAUUAGUUAUAUGGGGAUAUUUUAAAUAUAAACUUACUUAAAGUAGGGAGUUGGUUACAGUAAUUUUUAUUGUUUUGUAAUAAUGAUUGUAUUAGUAUAUAAGUUUGUUGUUAAGAAAAUUUUUCUGGCGAUAUUUUUAAGUUUUAAGAGGUUUGGCGGGUAGGCUCAAGGAACUCGACAAAGUUUAUACCCACCUGUUUAACAAAAACAUGUCUAUUAGAAUGAAAUUUUUAGUCUGACCUGCCCACUGUAUGAUUUUUGAAGGGCCGCGGUAUUUGGACCGUGCUAAGGUAGCGUAAUCAGUAGUCUUUUAAUUGAGGUCUAGAAUGAACGGUCGGAUGAGGUAUAGUUUGUCUACGGGCGUAAAUAUUGAAUUUUACUUUUAAGUGAAAAGGCUUAAAUUGGGUGGUGGGACGAUAAGACCCUAUGAAGCUUUAUAUUUCUCAGUCUUUAUGUCUAAAAGUAUUGUAUUUAGUCAAGAGACUGAGAAAUAUUAUGUUGGGGCGACGGGAACAUAAAUUUAACUGUUUUUAAUGGAAAAAUAAUUAUUUUUAGAUUUUUGAUCUUGUUUAUUGCGGAUCAUAAGAUUUAAUGUUACUCUAGGGAUAACAGCGUAAUUUUUCUUGAGAGUUCUUAUCGACAGAAAUAUUUGCGACCUCGAUGUUGAAUUAAGAUUUCAUUAUGGCGUAGGAGUUAUAGUAGGUAGGUCUGUUCGACCUUUAAAAUCUUACAUGAUUUGAGUUCAGACCGGCGCAAGCCAGGUUAGUUUCUAUCUUUCACUUUUGUGUGCCCGUUCUAGUACGAAAGGAGAGUGCGGGUGAAAUAAUUUUUUGAGUUUGAUUAACUUUAA